rnacentral:rRNA from 1 species
UACGGGGGGGGCAAGCGUUGUUCGGAAUUACUGGGCGUAAAGCGUGCGCAGGCGGUGAUGUAAGACCGAUGUGAAAUCCCCGGGCUUAACCUGGGAACUGCAUUGGUGACUGCAUUGCUGGAGUAUGGCAGAGGGGGGUGGAAUUCCACGUGUAGCAGUGAAAUGCGUAGAGAUGUGGAGGAACACCGAUGGCGAAGGCAGCCCCCUGGGCCAAUACUGACGCUCAUGCACGAAAGCGUGGGGAGCAAACAGG